UUAAGUUCAGCGGGUAGUCCUACUCGAUUUGAGGUCAAGUUGUCAGUUGUUGUCCGAAGACGGUUUGAAGCACAGAGCUCCCGAUCGGCCACCCUCUACAGGUGCCGGCGAAGACACUUAUCACGCCGUACUAUGUCCAACCAAGAGUUGCACUAAUGCAUUUGAGGUGAGCCACCCGUAAAGCAGCAACACCCAAGUCC
rnacentral:misc_RNA from 1 species